rnacentral:tRNA from 1 species
GGGCAGUUACCAAAGUGGACAAAUGGGACUGACUGUAAAUCAGUUGCGUAAGCUUCGAAGGUUCGAAUCCUCCACUGCCCACCA